rnacentral:rRNA from 1 species
UACGUAGGUGGCGAGCGUUGUCCGGAUUUACUGGGCGUAAAGAGCGCGCAGGCGGUCGUACAAGUCGCGUGUGAAAGCCCCCGGCUCAACUGGGGAGGGUCACGCGAUACUGUUCGACUCGAAGGCAGGAGAGGGUAGUGGAAUUCCCGGUGUAGUGGUGAAAUGCGUAGAGAUCGUAAGGAAGACCAGUGGCGAAGGCGGGUCUCUGGACAGUUCCUGACACUGAGGCACGAAGGCCAGGGGAGCAAACGGG